rnacentral:rRNA from 1 species
GAUGAACGCUAGCUACAGGCUUAACACAUGCAAGUCAAGGGGUAGCAGGGUAGCAAUACCGCUGACGACCGGCGCACGGGUGAGUAACACGUAUCCAACCUUCCCAUAACUCGGGGAUAGCCUUUCGAAAGAAAGAUUAAUACCCGAUAGUACUUAACAAAGGCAUCUUUGAUAAGUUAAAGAUUUAUUGGUUAUGGAUGGGGAUGCGGUCCAUUAGAUAGUUGGUGAGGUAACGGCUCACCAAGUCUUCGAUGGAUAGGGGUUCUGAGAGGAAGGUCACCCACAUUGGUACUGAGACACGGACCAAACUCCUACGGGAGGCAGCAGUGAGGAAUAUUGGUCAAUGGGCGAGAGCCUGAACCAGCCAAGUAGCGUGAAGGAUGAAGGUCCUAUGGAUUGUAAACUUCUUUUAUAGUAGAAUAAAGUGAUCCACGUGUGGAUUUUUGUAUGUAUACUAUGAAUAAGGAUCGGCUAACUCCGUGCCAGCAGCCGCCGUAA